GUAAUAGGCCAAUUUUGGCCUGGUUAAAAAAACAAAUAACAAGCCCAAAUUGUAACCCAAUUACAUUAGCCCAAUAAACCCAUAACAGAAUCAAAGAACCCUAGCCCCUUCGCCUCAGUACCGCAGCAGCAUACAGCCUCUGCGCAGAUAUCGCAGCACGUCGCACAUUCUCCUUCCACGCCGCGCACGUCUGUCUUCCAUGCACCUGCAACAAACUACAAAUAGCAGCAAAUGAAAAGAAAAUGGGGGAAUUUUUAUUACUGUUUUGGGGUUAUAAAGAGUUUAUUGCAAAACCGAUUGAAAAAACAAUAUGGUAUUAACAGAUUGAGAAACACAACAGGAUUAAAAAAACAGUUUUGAAGGUGACGAUUUUGGUUUUUCUUUUUUCCAAUUUUUUUUCUUCUUUCUUUCCCUUUUAUUUUUCCUUGUUUCUAAAAGCAAAUAAAAAAGGGAAAGAAAGGAGGGCUUACCGUUGCGAGAGUCGUCGGAGAGCGUCCUCGUUUCGUUGUUAUCUGGUCGGACAUGGGAGGGGACUG
rnacentral:lncRNA from 1 species